CGCUGGCCUAGCCCACAUCUGUAAUUAUCCAAAGCAAAUUUCCAAUUAUAGUUGACGAGAAAGCUAUCGUUAGAUCAAGCAACUAUAUUCAAUACAAAAAUAUCCCCGUUUUUGUACAAUUCAGUCUCAAAUCUCCUUAUCUACAGAAGUUUUUUUCUAUUUUAUUUAUAUUUUCUCCAUCGAACGACCAAUUUUGACUUGAAAUCAUUGUUGCAGAAUACAGAAUUGUAUUUUCAGUGUGAGAUCGGACGAUAAUUUGGGUUUGACGACUCUAAUUUUUGUUGCGAUUGGAGUUAUUGCGUCUCUAUGUGCCAGAAUUUGCUGCAGUAGAAGCCCUUCUACUAAUAUGUUACACAUGACAUUGAUCAUCACCGCUACAGUAUGCUGCUGGAUGAUGAAUGAAGGAAGGAGUCGACGCAUUGUUUCGCGAUUUAAUGCUUCCAAUUUUGCCAGGUCCAUCGCCAGUGUGUCGGGAAGCUGAUACAUUCUUUUUGUAUCAAAAUAUUUGUCAGUAAGAAUUCAUAUUGUCGUCUGUGAGAAUUUAUAUAGUCGACCUCAUCUUGUUCGGGAUGAGGCAUUAUUGUUGUUGUUGUAUUUGUUUAAACUCUUGGUCGGGGACGGAGCAUUUCAGCUUUUGCGUGCAAGAUGUGCUGCAAUUUUAUGGAUUUGUUAAUUUAAAAAUAGAGCUUUUCUUCCUUA